rnacentral:lncRNA from 1 species
UCUGUCCCUUCCUCAGCCCCGCUUUCUGAUACAACUGGAUGCAUUGCCACAAUGUACUGCAGAUGUGCCUUUUGACAUCAGAGGACGCAUGUCCCCAGGGGGGCUUUGGCACAAACCUGUCAUGUUUGCACCGAGCGGAGACGGCACUGACAAGGCAUUUACAGCUGAAAGUAAGAAUAUUUUUUCCUGCAGAGCAGUUUAAAAGGCAAAAUAAAAUUGUGCAGUUUUCAAAACAAAGCACGUUAUGUUGACCGGUGCCAAAGAAUUCAGAAGGCUUAUAUGAAAAGGGAAGGGAAAUCCAUAUUUUUCUUUCUGAGGCAAAGCAUGUUUUUUAUUUCCGGUUCUAUUCUACAAUAACUGCAAAGACUUUGAAAGUCUUCUG